rnacentral:rRNA from 1 species
UACGAAGGGGGCUAGCGUUGCUCGGAAUGACUGGGCGUAAAGGGCGCGUAGGCGGUUUGUACAGUCAGACGUGAAAUUCCUGGGCUUAACCUGGGGGCUGCGUUUGAUACGUGCAGACUUGAGUGAGGAAGAGGGUUGUGGAAUUCCCAGUGUAGAGGUGAAAUUCGUAGAUAUUGGGAAGAACACCGGUGGCGAAGGCGGCCAACUGGUCCGGAUCUGACGCUGAGGCGCGAAAGCGUGGGGAGCAAACAGG